rnacentral:rRNA from 1 species
UACAGAGGGUGCAAGCGUUGUUCGGAAUUACUGGGCGUAAAGCGCGCGUAGGCGGCUUUGUAAGUUAGAGGUGAAAGCCCGGGGCUCAACCCCGGAACUGCCUUUAAGACUGCAUCGCUUGAAUCCAGGAGAGGUGAGUGGAAUUCCGAGUGUAGAGGUGAAAUUCGUAGAUAUUCGGAAGAACACCAGUGGCGAAGGCGGCUCACUGGACUGGUAUUGACGCUGAUGUGCGAAAGCGUGGGGAGCAAACAGG